rnacentral:rRNA from 1 species
GAGGGAAGCGGAGACCGCAAGGUAGGAGCAAAUCCCCAAAAACAGUCCCAGUUCGGAUUGUGGGCUGCAACCCGCCCACAUGAAGUCGGAAUUGCUAGUAAUGGCAGGUCAGCAUACUGCCGUGAAUACGUUCCCGGGCCUU